GUAGAUAGUCAUGCUGGGGAUGGACAAGAGUUUAAGUUUGAGGAUAUUUUUUUUAUUCACUUAUUCAAGCUUCGAUUCUUAAUGAUUUAUUAUUAUUUUGAGCAAAUAUCUACUUAAUUUAGGUUAAAUUUGGUUAAUUUUAGGUAAGAUUCGGAUUAUAUAACUUUGGAUGAAAUUGGAUAGAAGUGGUACAAAAUUGAAGAAUUUGGGGGCCAAAUUAUUCAAGUCUUGAAGAUGACAACCUGUCAUGCAAGUAAAGAGGACAUGAGAUUCACCAGAACUUAAUGUGCAAGAUCAAGGGUUAAUUGUUCCAAUGGUCACUGAACUUAGGUCUUUGUCUUUGAUUGGCUACUGAACAUUAAAAUGUCGAGUUUUGGUCACUGAAUUUAGGUCCAUGUCUUUGAUUAGCCACUGAAC
rnacentral:lncRNA from 1 species